GAUUAACGCUAGCGGCAGGCCUAAUACAUGCAAGUCGAACGGCAGCACGGAUAGCAAUAUCUGGUGGCGAGUGGCGCACGGGUGCGUAACACGUAUGCAAUCUACCCUUAACUGGGGGAUAGCCCCGAGAAAUCGGGAUUAAUACCCCAUAACAUUGCGAUGAGGCAUCUCAUUGCAAUUAAAGCUCCGGCGGUUUUGGAUGAGCAUGCGCGACAUUAGUUAGUUGGUGAGGUAAUGGCUCACCAAGACUUCGAUGCAUAGGGGUUCUGAGAGGAUUCACCCCCACACUGGGACUGAGACACGGACCAGACUCCUACGGGAGGCAGCAGUAAGGAAUAUUGGUCAAUGGGCGCAAGCCUGAACCAGCCAUGCCGCGUGAAGGAUGACGGCCCUACGGGUUGUAAACUUCUUUUGUACGGGAAAAAACCACCGGUCGUGAACCGGUGCUGAUGGUACCGUAAGAAUAAGCAUCGGCUAACUCCGUGCCAGCCGCCGCAGUAACAC
rnacentral:rRNA from 1 species